rnacentral:rRNA from 1 species
CCCAAAGUGGCCGCAGCUAUACAUGCAAAGUCGAACGCUUCUUUCCUCCCGAGUGCUUGCACUCAAUUGGAAAGAGGAGUGGCGGACGGGUGAGUAACACGUGGGUAACCUACCCAUCAGAGGGGGAUAACACUUGGAAACAGGUGCUAAUACCGCAUAACAGUUUAUGCCGCAUGGCAUAAGAGUGAAAGGCGCUUUCGGGUGUCGCUGAUGGAUGGACCCGCGGUGCAUUAGCUAGUUGGUGAGGUAACGGCUCACCAAGGCCACGAUGCAUAGCCGACCUGAGAGGGUGAUCGGCCACACUGGGACUGAGACACGGCCCAGACUCCUACGGGAGGCAACAGUAUGGAAUCUUCUGCAAUGGACGAAUUUCUGACCGCGCCCCGCUGCGUGUUC